AACGAACGCUGGCGGCAUGCCUAACACAUGCAAGUCGAACGAAACCUCCGGGUCUAGUGGCGCACGGGUGUGUAACGCGUGGGAACCUUCACUUAGGUUCGGCAUAACUCUCCGAAAGGGGUGCUAAUACCGGACAAUGUCUUCUGACCAAAGAUUUAUCGACCUUGUUUGGGCCCGCGUUGGAUUAGCUAGUUGGUAGGGUAAAAGCUUACCAAGGCGACGAUCCAUAGCUGGUCUGAGAGGAUGAUCAGCCACACUGGGACUGAGACACGGCCCAGACUCCUACGGGAGGCAGCAGUGGGGAAUAGUGGACAAUGGGCGGAAGCAUGAACCAGCAAUGCCGCGUGAGUGAUGAAGGCCUUAGGGUUGUAAAGCGCUUUUACCCGGGAUGAUAAUGACAGUACCGGGAGAAUAAGCCCCGGCUAACUCCGUG
rnacentral:rRNA from 1 species